ensembl:lncRNA
CACUGCUGGACACUCACAUUGGGACUCAACAACACAUGGGGAUUCUUGGACUAUUUUUAGGUUUACAGGCAGUGAACCCACAUCCGUCCAUCACGACCCUCACUGCUGCAGUCAGACUGAAUCCGAUCAUGGAUGGGACAGAGACAUCGAGGCUGUCCUUGCCUGAGUGCACAGAGAGGAUGAGGAAGACCAUGAUGAUGCCCCUGAACCACACAACCCUGAACAUGUGUGGGACAAUCUGACUCCUGCUGUGUCUGCUCCAAACAUCUGUGUGCUGCACUCCAUGAACACAACUACCUGUAAAACAUUUACACAGAUGAACUGGACUGGUCAGCAGAAGGUUGCUGGAUCAAUCUCCGCAGCUGUCACAACUGGUUACUCCAGGUACAACUUUACUCCCGGUUGCUCUAGAGGGAUUGGGGUCCCUGUAAUAAGAGCACUGUAUGUCACUUCAGAUAAAAGUGUCUGCCAAAUGAAUAAAUGUAAAUGUGAUUUUUGUAAAUGCUUUUUUUUGUCAUGGGCACAAACGCUCAAUAAAGCUGCUUAUUUCUUAAAGUUUCUUUUUUCUAUAAGGUACUACUAUAAUAUUAAUACAUGCUUAUAUUUCAUACAGUUUCUAUUUGGGGUUUUAAAGGGUUAGUUCAUCUAAAC